rnacentral:lncRNA from 1 species
CAGAGACCAGAUACAGUCAACAUGGACAAAUUAUUUAGACUGAGGCAGAUAUCGAAGUUCUGUAGGAGUUUUGUUUACAGUUCACACUGUUCAGAGGUUACCUCACUUUUUAUGCAAAUUUCCAUAGAAAGAUAUGUAUGUGAAAAAUCAACAUUAGCUUGCCCUGCACUACAUAUUACAGUAUUCGUCCAUACCAAUUUUUAACAAAUUAAGUCAUCUCGCAGGCCUCUACGGCUCUUAGGCCUUAGAUUUUUUUGGGAGAAUUCAUCUCCCUAAAAACCUGUUUGGCCACAACAUAAUAAUUUUAAGUUUAUUUACAAUUGACACAGUGUGUAUAUUUUAAGUAUGUUUAACAGGUUGGGAUCAAACCCUCUACAUGGUGAUUAUACCUGUAUAGAGGGAUAAUCCUUCUAUAGAGGGGUAAAAUUAUCCCUCUAUAGAGGGGUAUUUUUGUUUAGACUGGAUUUAAAUCAAAAUAGGGCAGAAUGGCAUUCUCUACUUAUUAUGGCAGUAACCUGGAAUAGUUGAUGCACCAAUUGAUGUACUUAUAGUCGCCGUCAGCUGAUUUUCGUAGCGGUUAUCGGUAAAAAUAAUCUAAACUAACAAUCGCGUUUACUCGAGAUAUAGUUUUUUACAUUCCAUUCAUAAAUCGCAUUUAGAAAAACCACUACUGACCUACCUUUUAAGUGAUCGCACUGUAAUAAUCCUGACCUUCACAUUUCCUAGAAUGUUUUCCAUUGUAAUUACGCCAUCUUUGUUUCUAUGAGGAUCCUUUAUUUACACAAGCAGCUGACAAGCAUUCGUCACUUCCGGAGGCGGAGCAUAAUGAUGUGAUCAACUUUCCCGCGUUUUUUCAUGUAAACAAUAACACAUGUAAUGUAAUCGACAAGACAACUUCAAUGUGCCCUUCAAUGUGACCCGCAAUUCAACAGAAUGACGUUUUACACGGAGUAUCAAUGAAAAAAUGUACGGUAAGUAGAAUUAUAACUUCUGUAGGUUAAUGAAAAAAAAAAAAAAAUAAUUAAAAGAAUGAUAUCAUCACGAGUAUUAAAACAUACAAACGAUGCAAUGUUUUAAUUACCCAAAGGCUAUAAUUAAUUGGUUCAAGUUCUGUAUCUGUAGUGUGGUACGUGUAGAAUCCUGUUUAGGCUUUUAUACACAGUUUAAUAUAAAGGUGAAAAUUUAUUUAAUUUAUUAUUUUCUGUAUGUGUGUGUGUGUGUGUGUGUGUGUGUUUUAUACGGUUGAUUAUUGUGUGCAAAAUCUUGAGAGAAAAAAAUCAUCUUAUAAAGAUAUGAAAAACAAACUUUGUAUCAUGUAAGCUGUUCAGCAGUAUCACAAUUUGAUGCAAGCUUUAGGGGAGUAUUAAAACUUGUUAACAAGUUGGGAACAACCACUCAAUGUAAUGACUAUCCCUUUUUAUGCCCUUAACAUGACAUUUCUUGUGAUUAUUUUUGUUUAUGAAAACCACUUUGGUAGAUAUGAGCAAAUAUUUAUAUAAUUUGAAGAAACUUUUCCCUAAGAACUAAAUCCAUAUACAUCUACCUGGUAUAUUUUUUAUCAAAAACAUGUCAUAGAAUUUUGCAAUAUUCAUGGACUUGUAUAUCUUUUUAUAUACAUGUACUAUUUAAAAAAAUUGGACCCUCUAUUAGAAAGAUUGUUCCAAAUAUAAUGAAUUUUCCCGUUUUUAAGUAAAAAAAUCUAGAUCAAGUUAUUCAUUUUUUUUUAAAUUUACAACAGCAAAUUGGUCGCCUGUCUGAGACAGUCCCUCUAUAAAGGGAUAUCCCUAAUUUAGAGGGUUGCUCUUAACAUCUUUCAGGAUUUUUAUUAAAUUUUGGCAGGUCUAGACAAUUUGCCACUAGCCCUAUGCCAGAGACUAGUGAUAAUUACUUUAUUUUCCAUUCAUGCAGAAGAUGCCAAACUAAAUUGGGGGAGAGAUGCUAAAAAAGCUCCAUCUGCUGAUUAUAAGAGUACCGUAGAGAUCUGUUGGUUGAAUAGAUUGACAUGUAAAAUAGAGAGACAAGAGGAAUUUGUACAUCAAUGAUGAGGCCAUUGGAAAAUUGAAUGUAGGUUUAUGUUUCACCAAAAACUCAAAAACUUUUAUAAAUAGGUUGAUAGGCAGACAUGUCUGUCUAACUACAUGAAGUUCAUCUUACCUUGUAUAUCUAUCAUUAUAAGGGUGUGAAUGGGGCAAAACGGGCACAAUUUAUUAGAAAUAAAGAACAAUGACCCCAAUAAUAAAGAAUAUUGAAUAAAGAAUAAUGAGGUGCUUAAAUUAAAAGAAUAGAGAAUAUUGGGCAAAAAGUAUUAAAAAAAAGAAAAAAAUCACCUUCAUAAGAUAUUGUUUUAAAAAAUUCUUCACUGUAGCCUGUGUUAAUGUGCAUACUUUAUUUGCUUUGUAUAUUAUUAAAUAUAUAUAUAUAAUAAAUUAAAAAAAAAAUUAUUAAUACAAUGGACAACACUGAAUGAUAAUUUUAUUAUUUUUAAUGGAAUUAGAAUACUUAGAAAAGCCAAAACAAUUCUUGUUCACAACUAAAUGCCCACAUAGAGAUCCUCAUUCACAAGGUCAUUGUUCAAUUUAUAUAAAUUUUGUUGUAUUAUUGAAGAUUCUAUGUCAAGGGUGGAUCCAUUACCCUUAUCGGCCCAAGACCACACUUAAUGACCCUGGUUUUUGUUGUUCACGAAUAUAGUUCCCUUUAAUUAUAGUGUAUUUUUUCUUUAUUUUUUUCUUUCCCUUUCUCAUACAUUUCUUAGCUUUUCUGGGAUGGAAAUGAAAGAAGAGAGCGGAAAUAAACUUUUGGAUGUUUUAUUUUAACUGAUUUUGAUCAGGAAAGAGUGAUUAGGCCAGGUGCAAAAAGGUAAUAUUUACACGUUUCGGAACAUCUCUUGACUUGCCUAUAGGGGUAUGGAUGUGAAUUGGCAAAAUUUGAAUGAUUCUGAAAAUUGCAUAUACUUUUGGACUUGUACAGUAACUGUACAUUACACAAACAAAAAAUUAGACAAAAAGAAUAGGCAAAAUUUUUUUAAUGCGACAAAACUUUAUAAAGAAAUGAUAGAGGAAUUAAUUGUGGUCUCGGGGCCUAUUAUACAUGUAGAUCACUAUGCAGUAUGGGUUUGCUAAUUGUUGAAGGCUCUUAUGUGACCCAAUAGUUUCUUUAUAUCUAUGUCAUUUGGUCCGGUGGAUAAUUGUUUCAUUGAACUCAUGUUUUCUCUGCUUCUAUGUACAAAAUAUUGAGAAUGGAAAUGGUGAAUAUGACUAUAUGUCAAAGAGACAAAAACCCGACCAAAGAGCAGAAAACAGAUGACAGCUACCAAUGAGUCUCAACGUAUGGAGAAAAUCCUGCAUCUGCAGGUGGUCCUCAGCUGGCCCUUAAAUAAAAUUGUGUACUAGUUCAAUGAAAAUGGAGGUCACACAAAAUUCCAAAUCAUAUAAAUGAACUUAAAUUCAAAAACAUACAAGACUAACAAAGGCCAGAGACUUGGGACAGGCAUUAAAAUGAGGCGGAGUUAAAUAUGUUUUGUGAGAUCUCAACUUUCCCUCUAUAUCUGUAGCCAAUGAAGAACAAAGGAAUACAUAGUUCCCAGGUUAGGGGAGGGUUGGGAUCGCGCUAACAUGUUUAACCCCGCCACCUUUUUUUAUGUAUAUGCCUGUCCCAAGUCAGGAGCCUGUAAUUCAGUGGUUGUCGUUUGUUUAAAUGUUACAUAUUUGUUUUUCGUUCAUUUUUUUUUAGAUAAAAAAGGCCGUACUUUAAUUGAAUUGUUUUACAUUGUCUUAUCGGGGCCUUUUAUAGCUGACUAUGCGGUAUGAGCUUUGCUCAUUGUUGAAGGCCGUACACUACUGUGACCUACAGUUGUUAAUGUCUGUGUCAUUUUUGUCUCUUGUGGACAGUUGUCUCAUUGGCAAUCAUAUCACAUCUUCUUUUUUAUAUAGCAAUACACACAGUAAAAUAAAUGCAAACUUACUUACCAUGCUUACUUGCAAUAUAUAUAAUAUACUUUCUUUAUUUUAUGCACUGAUUUCUUACCAUGCUUACUCUUAAAAAACAACUUGUGGUCAUGAUAGCAACACUACCCAGGCAUUUAUUUAGGUAUCACAAAAAUAUUAAUCACAUUCUGGUAUAAAAUGACAAAAUCGCAACAAUAAAUGCACUUCCCUGAAUUUGCAGUUGGUGUGAGACAAGACUCUGUGUUGAAGGCUGUUCAUUGACCUAUAAUGGUUUACUUUUAUAAAUUGUUAUUUGGAUGGAGAGUUGUCUCAUCAGCUCUCACACCACAUCUUCCUAUACAUUGUAACUAUGACAGUAUACUGUUUUCAAAUAUUUAUUUGGAUUUUGGGCUCCAUUUUAAUUUGGUCCAUAUUGAGGACCAAAAUUAAAUUUAGAUAAACUUACUUUGAUUUCUUAUUUAAUUGAAAUCUUGAGGUUAUUUGAUAUUCUAAAUCUAUGUAUUUUGGACCAUAAACAUGAUAAAUCAGGCUGUUAUUUUUCUCGUGUGAAUUGUUUUACAAUUGUGAUUCCAUUGACUGAGCUGUAUGGGUUUAACUCAUUGUUGAAGGCUGUAUGGUUACCUACAGUUGUUGAUUCUGAGUCAUUUGUCUUUUUGAUGAAUUGUUUCAUUUGCUAUCUUUGUACAUCUUAUAUUUUUGCAUUAAAGUCCAAAUUUUGGAGCUUCUUCAUUAAUACCACGUCACAUGCCUGAAACCUAUGCUGUCUCAAUAUUUAAUCACAAUCUAAAUUCAGAGCUGUAUCAAGCUUGAAUAUGGGGGUUGUAUCAAGCCGCCCCCUGUAUUUUAUUUGUCUUUCAAUGUUGAUGACAAAUGUAUCCAUAUUAAAUGAAAAUUAUAAAUAAUGCACAGAUCAUAAUUGAAGGAAGAACAUUUUUGUUGCUGUUCUUUAUCUUAAUUUCAAAUUUUUCACCUUCUACAGAUUUAUAUGUUCUUAUUCAACUAUAUACAUCUUGAUAUGUUUCAAUGGCUGUUUUUCAAAGCAGGUUUGAUGAAAUGAUAAUUGAGAUGGAGUAUUUUAACAACAAUUAUGAUUUAAUAUUUAAAUAUACAUGCAUGAUUAUAAUAACAAACAAUUAUGAUUUAAUAUCUAAAUAUACAUGCAUGAUUAUAAUAACAAACAAUUUAUGAUUCAAAACUUAACCAACAUGAUAAAAAUAACCAUUAACAUUCAAUUUAUUACUUUUCAUAUCAUUAAAUUUAAAUAUAUCAAUAAUCUUAAUAAGAAAUAAAUAUCUUCAGCUGAAGUCAAUUAUGUACAACCAGUAUAAAUAUAUCACAGAUAUUUGACUUGUACUUCAUGUUCAUAUCACAGAUAGCAGUUAUGUCGUUUAUAUCACAAAUAGCAGUAGUAAUCUUUCAAUGCUUACAUCACAAAUAGCAGUAGUAAUCUUUCAAUGCUUACAUCACAAAUAGCAGUAGUAAUCUUUCAAUGCUUACAUCACAAAUAGCAGUAGUAAUCUUUCAAUGCUUAUAUCACAAAUAGCAGUAGUAAUCUUUCAAUGCUUAUAUCACAGAUAUUUGAAGUAUAUAUAUAUAUAUAUAUAGUAUGGAGGAUCCAGAUGGUGGAAAUAUUUCACAGUUUAUCAGGUGUUGAUUAAUUAUAUAUUUUAAUGAUUUAUUAUUGAUGUAUGCAGGAUGGGAAAGCAAAUCACUCAAAUUAUUGUCCAGAAAUUGUCAUCAAUGAAUCAGUAACUGAAGAUUAAACAAAGGUAUGUUGAGAAAGUCCUCCAGAGCUGUAAAGAAACUGAGACGGUAUCCAUGUAAGCUGUUUCAGAUCUGAAACUGCCAUUAAAGCAGAUACAUGUACAUGUACUUAAAAACAAAUCAUGAGAAAUAUUUGGCAUGAGUAGUGACCACAUCUGUGUUAUUGAAAAUAAUGUUCCACACCAAAAAGAAUUGAAUCUUAAUUAAACAAUAUUUUGGGUUAAUAAAUACUCCAGAAACUCAGCCAAAUGCGACAUAAAGAAUAUCCUCAAACCAAAAAUAUGAUGUCAGAAGAAGGAAAUUGAUAUAAAAUUAAAGAUCCAAAUUUUACAUUUUAUCUUUUUGCUUAUCUUAGAAUGAAAUAUGUAUUUCAUAAUACCAGUCAGAUGGGAAUUAUAUUCAUGUUAAAAAAAUAUAUAAUUUACUUAUUUUUUUGGAGGUAAAAUUAUUUCCGUUAAUAGACAGUCAGAUUAUAAUUUCAUUUGUAUAAAGAUACAAUUUCCAUUCUCAAUUAUUUUCUUUCCAUAAAUGUAAUGCUUUAUUUGCGUAAACUAUCAACAAUGAAAUAAUCAAAAGCUGCUCAUUUACAAGUCUCCAGGAGGCAGUUUUAUAGGCCGUGCACAGCUAUGCUAUACAGAGGCGGAUUUAGGAGGGGGGCCCCUUUUUGGGAAAAAAUUUGGUUGCUUAUAUAGGGAAUCAUUGAAGCGUGACUGGAGCGGGCCCCCUCUUAGGUCAGUCAGUGGGCCCCCACUUAUGAAAAUUUCUGGAUCCGCCACUGCUAUAUAUGUGUUAGUUUCUGAAAUAAUAGGUUGAACUGUCCUAAAAAUAUUGGCAAUCAAAAUAACAAUUUUAUGUUUUGAACACCCAAAAUUUAGGAUAAGGGUUUGUAUUAAAAAAUCUUUAGUAUCAAAAUUUUCAAAAGAAUAAGUGAAGAAACUUAAAAAUAUUUAAAUCUGACAUAUUACAUCUUCAAGUAAAUAAGCAUAAUUUGAAUAGUAUUGCCCCUUACAUGCCUUACUGACUUUAAAAUGUUUUAUUGCUUAUAAGAUUAAAAAAUAUCUUUAAUUUAAUAACUGACUUUAGGGUAUGUACAUGUAACUAUUUUAAUGGCAUUAAAGAAAGACAUCACUGUUCCAUAUCUUCAAUUGGCGAAAUCAGUGGUUCACUGAGGUUCCGGUGGUUAAGAAUGGAAAAGCAUCGAAGACAGACAUUCCUCGCAAGAGCAGGUUUUGUGCAACACCUGUUGUGUACCCACUGAUCACAAGUAUCACACUGAAACCAGGAUAUAUACUUGUCCUUUUGAAUGGAUUUGGGUGGUUCAGUGCUACCACAGGUAUUGCACAAAAUCUCAUCAGCAUCAUUGAUGGUAUCAGGGACACUGUCCUCAAAGUCAACGUCAUUUUCAUUAGUCCCCUCCCCCUCCCCCUCAGAAAACAUGUAAGGAAUAGUCUUUUGACUGUCAUCACUGUCAUCGUCUGUCAUGUCAAUCACCACUGGAUUGACGUCUUCAUCCCUGAUACCAUCAAGUUUCCUGAGCUUUUCCUCAAACUCCCUUACCACGCGAGUCUCAAAUUUAGCCCAGCGCUCCGCAUCGACAUGGGACUUGGCCUCCAAAAAAAGCUGAGUAAUACCUUUUUUAUUGCAACUAGAAUUGUUUCUAGCUACAUAGCCUUUUAAGUAAGACCAAACCAGUUCGAUGGGAUUGAGCUCACAAUGAUAAGGAGGUGUGCGUAAAAUCUCAUGGCCAUUAGCUGAUGCAAGGUCAUCUAUUAUAUACCUAGGUUGAGGCUUUUUUUGCUUCACCAAAUCAAGCAGCUCGGUCUUUUUCAUUUUCUUAUCAUACUGAACAUUGCUCUUCUCCAGCCAUGCCGAGAUCUCUGACUUGUUGCUGUUUGUGUUUGGUACCUUUGAGUCAGGAUCUAAGUGACUGUGAUACGGAGCAUUGUCCAUUACAAUUACAGACCGAGGAGGCAGUUUAGGGAGAAGUGUAUCUCUGAACCACUCUGUAAAGUGCUCCUUAUUCAUCUCGUCAUGAUAAUCAGAGCUGUUGGUUUUCGACUCAAAUAUAAGACCACAUCCGGGGAUUAGGCCUUGUUGAGAGGAGCCAACAUCUAAGAUUAUCAAUCUAGUACCCUUGCCAGAAGGUACUUUCCGAUGGGUACCUUUACAGUGUGGCUCAAAGACAGACAUGGACGUGCUGGGAACAUCCAGCCAGUCACCCUUUACCACAUGAUUGGUGUUCAACCAAGUCUCAUCCAGAUAUACAAUAUGACGCCCUUGCUGCCUAAACUUAUGUAUCUUACGAAGAUAUGUCAUUCUCAUGAGAACGAUGUCCUCCCUCUCCGACACAAAUCUUCUGCUUGUCGCAUUCUUGUAGAACCUGAAAAACAAAAUCAUACAUGUACAUAUUUCUAUAUGAUGUAUUUUAAUAAUCAUGAUAAUAGAUAAUACGUUUGUUUGUAUAUUUUUUAAUAUUAGAUAAGAAUGUAUUGUUUUUAUUUUCAGGCUGUUAGCUAUAUAUACAUGUAGUGUCAAUCAUUAAGUUACUGCCUGCUAAGCAAUACCUGGAGUAUGUGUAAAGUUGAAUCUAGAUGACUCUGAUGUAUUCUGGUAGCUUGAUCAUUAAUAGCAGAAAAGAAAUUCAUUAGUCUUGUAAGUAUGAUUCGCAAUGUGGAACUUAAAUCUAAAUCUUUAAACUUGUAUGCAACAUUGUUUAAAUAUUUUCAGAUGUAUUCUUUGUUUUCCUGGACCUCUAUGAGUACAAGUAACAUUUUCAUUAUAUGCAUUGAAAUUAAAAAUUAUACAUGUUCACCUGUCCCAUGAUUUUGACAAAAAAGAUGAAAUACCCAAUAUAUAUACACUUUCAGCAUGUUUUAUAUCUGUUCCAUUACAAAUUAUAAAAAAAAAAGAAAAUAAAGGAUAUAGUUCAGAGUUUUGUAUAACGUCUAUUAACACUGAACUAGUAUACAUUUUGUUAAGUGGCUAGCUGUAGCACGCCUCCGGGUGCGGGAUUUUCUCACUGUAUUGAAGAUACAUUGGUGGCUUUUGGCUGUUUUCUACUCUUUGGUCGGGUUUUCUUUUUGACACAUUCCCUAUUUCAUGUAUUUACAUUCUCACUUUAAUGAAAUUUUUGGCUUAGAGAUUGGAUGACCAGUAAGUCAAAAUAUUUUGAAAUAAUUACCGAAACCCCAGUAAAUGCACUGUUCUCGACACUGUAGAUAUGGAAAUGUCAAUGUCUUUCUUUUUCAGAGCUUCCUGCAGCUUUGGCAUGGUCACCGACUGGGAUUUCUUGUGCAGAUCAUAGAUGGUCCUCCUCACCACACCUUUGUCGAAAUCAUCCACCUUCUGAGUCUUGGUGACAGUUUUCUGGACAUAAUCCUUGUGAAUUGACUUGACCACAUCCUGCACAGGAUCAUUUCCAUUGAUGUACCCUCUCAGGGUGGACUGUUUAAUGCCUGUAAUUUUCAUUGAGAAUUAUUUAAACAAAUGUUUACCAUUUUGUUUUUAUCAAUGCAAUACAUGCAAUGUUAUUAUAUAUAAUUGUAAAUUAUGUUGAACAAAACAUCAAUAUUGAAGACUUUCACCAUAUUUUUCAUCACCUUUUGUUUUUGCUGAAUUUUGAUGGUAGAACAUAAAAAAUGUAAUAUCUUGUCUAGACUUAAGGCCAAAAAAAAUUAAUAGGUGUGUUUUGUAUUUCUUCUUUGAAAAGAAAAGGGUAAUUAAGUAAAGGGAUUUAUUUUUAUUCCAACAUUUUUUUAGAUUGAGUCUAUGUUUCAUUUUGACUUUAGCCGUGCUUAUAUGGUAAUAGGAAACACAUCUUUUUUAUUUAGACUUAAAGAAUGGAUUUUUAGAAGGACUUUAUUGUUAGAAUUAUACUUUAUGUAAUUAAUACUGAAAUCCUUCUAUUUCUUCUUUUGAAUGGAAUAGAAUACAAAUGUAUAUGCUAGUAUACACAAUUUGAUUUUUUUAAUUGACAUUGAAAAUGUUCAAGUGUGCUAAUGAAAUGUCCAAUUGUUUUUUUUUUUUCAAAUCAAAUAAAAAAAAAUGAUUAAUUUUACCUGUUGCUUUCACUAGUCUUCUCAUUGGGUUUUGAAGCAUCCAUGGGCGCUUCAAACCCUUUUCCAUCAGAAAAAACUGGUAAAGUUUUCUCAACAAGUCCUUUGUCUGAAAAGUACAUAAAAAAUUAGGAAAAUUAUAAUAAUGUUCAUAGAAUGUUACACUUCAAUUUUUUGAUAAAACAAGUGUGGUAAAUUUUAUAAUGUUUCAACGAAUGUUAAAUUUUAUUUUUUUAAUAAAACAAGUACUUGCCAAGCAUGCCAAGUGAAAGUGAUAGCUUUAACAGUGAUCAAGGGGACAUAAUCCAAACUCAAAUUAGAUUCAAAUUUAUGUAAAAAACCCAAAUGUUUUAAAAUUUAAAGAAUUGAUGAAUACAUCAGAUUUAUUUACACUUACUGGAAUAGCAAAAUUUUGCAAAAGUGUUAUUAAAACCUUUUAAUACAUGUGCUUAAUCAUGUUCCUAUAAUUUGUACUUCCUGUCAAAUAUUUGUAUUAAUUAUAUAUAUACUAUUAAUUUAUUCCACCUUUGUUAACCAUGUUGUUCUAAUGUAAAUAUGUUCACACUUUUAUUGUUUGUUAAAAAAUGUUGUACUAACAUACCCCAUGUGGGGGCUUUAGUGAAAUAAAAUGUCUUAUGUCUUAUGUGUGAAGAUAGAAAAAUUCCAUUGAGCAUAAAUAUGGAAUAGGAUUGAUAAUAGUUAAAUAUAUAUAGUUUAUAUUGACGUUAAGAAUAGUACAUACUAAAAAGAAAAAUUUUAUUGAGCAUAAAUAUGGAAUAAGACUGAUACUAGUUGAAUAUAUAUAGUUUAUAUUGACGUUAAGAAUAGUGCAUACUAAAAAUUCAGGCAUUUAUUUAUAUCAUAGAUAUCAUGCUAGGGCUUAAUUAAUAUAUUGUUUGUUUCCCCAAUCCCUACCCUGCAAAGCCAGGUGUGGGUCAGAAGGUAGGGAAAUAAUUUUAUUUUUUCCAAAAAGCUUGAACAGCAUUUGACGAUCCUGCUAGCCUGACAAUCGGAAAUGAAUAAAAUAAUAUUUGACUUAAAUUUGACAAUAAAAUUUUAAGAGUAGCACUGUUUUUGCAGGGUCGGUCGGGAUUGGGGAAACAAACAAUAUUUUAUUUUAGGCCCUAUGUAUUUAAAUGGACUGGACAUUUAUCUGUUGUAAGACUAAAAGACUGUAUUUUGAGGUUAUCUCCUAUAUUAUAGUUUAUAGUUAUAUUUUUUUCCUUCUACGUAUUUGUUAUUAUGUUAACAAGUGUGGCAAUAAUCAAAAUUUGCAUACUUUUUGUUCAAAAUAUGAAGAUGUGCAUUUAAAUUGAUAGUUAAUUGUAAAAUAAAAAAUGUUCUAGAAACCAGUUAGAUGGGGGUCUAAAUUGAAAUCAAAAGAAUUUAUAAUUUUAUUGCUUAAAUGAAGUUUUUAAUUAUGAACUUCUGAAAUAUAUACCCUUAAUAAUAAUUUAGGUCAUUUGGGUUUUUUUUUUAUAACCAUGAAGUUUUAGCAUUUGAUAAUGUUAUAGCUUUGCCUUUGUCAGCAUUGUCUGCACCAUAAAAUUUAAAAAUCAGGUUGGGAUUAAAUUUGAGGGUUAUCGUCCUAACUUUUAAGGAAUUGAAGGUCCCAAACAGCAAGGUUCCAGAACUGAACAGAAAGGUUGGGAGUGAUUUUUUUUUUAGUCAAGGAGGGGUGGGGAGAUAUGGUUUCUUUCCAUUUUUAACAUUAAUAAAGGGACCAGCGAAUAAUAUUUUUUUAUACUUUGUAUAAAUUGCUUAUUUCUUGACCGAUUUCAAUGGGUUUUUAUUCUUGAUUUCUUAGAAAUGCUGAAUCUAACUGUGUAUUAUGUUUUUGGAAUUUGGUCCACAUUUAGGUAAAAAGGGUCCAAAAUUAAACUUUGUUUGAUUUCAUCAAAAAUUGAAUUUAUGAGGUUCUUUGAUAUGCCGAAUCUAAACAUGUAUUUAAAUUUUUUAAAUUUUGGGUCCUGUUUUCAAAUUGGUCUACAUUAAGAUCUAAAGGGUCCAUGAUUAAACUUAUUUCGAUUGUAACAAAAAAAUAAAUUUUUGGUGUUCAUUGAUAUGCUGAAUCAACAAGAUGGUCGCCAUGGCUAAAAAUAGAACAUAGGGGUAAAAUGUAGAUUUUGUCUUAUAACUCUGAAACCAAAGCAUUUAGAGAAAAUCUUUCAUAGGUGUUAAAUUGUUUAUUAGGUCAAGAUCUAUCUGCCCUGAAAUUUUCAGACAAAUCGGAAAACCCGUUGUUGGGUUGCUGCCCCCAAAUUAGUAAUUUUAAGGAAAUUUUGCAGUUUUUGGUUAUUAUCUUGAAUAUUAUUAUAUUGAUAGAGAUAAACUGUUAACAGCAAUAAUGUUCAGCAAAGUAAGAUCUACAAUUAAGUCAACAUGACCAAAAUUGUCAAGUGACCAAUUAACGAGUUAUUGCCCUUUAUAAUCAAUUUUCGAAAAUUUUUGUAAAUUUUUAAAAAAUCUUCUUCUCUGAAACUACUUGGCAAAAUUUAACCAAACUUGGCCACAAUCAUCAUUGGGGUAUCUUGUUUAAAAGUGUGUGGCGUGACCCUGCCAACCAACCAAGAUGACCGCCAUGGCUAAUUAUAGAAGGUAGGGGUAAAAUGUAGAUUUUGACUUAUAACUCGGAAAUUAUUAUUAUGAAUAUUAUUAUAGAUAGUGAAUCCGGGUCUGUUCGCGCCCAAUCACGUUCGCACCCUUCCACAUUCGCCCCCAUUCACUUUCGCAUCCCACAUGUUCGCACCCAAAUUUUGCGAAAAGUUCGUUCACAACCCACACGUUCGCACCCAAUUUUACCGAUUUUUUUUAGGUGUAUUGGUAUAAAUAUAUAUGCCAUUGUUUCUAAAUAAUUCGAGAUACUGACAAGUUUUUUUGUGUCAUGACAAGUUUAUAAAAAAAAAGGUCUUUGUUUUUAAGUCGGAUUAUGUUAUUCUGGCAACAACUAUUUCAUUUGUGUGUUGAAUAAUUCUUAAUCGUGUUUUGGUUAGUGUAUUGAAAUAAUUUGUUUUUCACUGUUUCUAGUCAAUUUUAAGUGCGAAUCUGACAACAUGUUGAACAACUGGCCGUAUGCAUGGUAUAUUGUAUUGCUAUAUAUUUAUUUUAUUAGUAUUUACAUAAAGCAAUUUAAAUCAACAAUCAUGAUUUAUAACCAACAGUAAACAAUAACACCAAAUUAGGCUGUUUAUAAAUACCAAUUAGCAAUAAUCAUCAACAUUUAAUAAUUAAUCAUCAGAUUGAUAAAAAAAAAUCUAUUCAAUAAAUUCUCAAAUUUUAUUCAAAUAGAAUACAAUUAUUUGUUAUAUUCAUAUGAAUAAUUUCUAACAAUUUAACUUAAAUUUUAUUAAAAAUUGGGCGCGAACAUGUAGGGUGCGAACGGACGUGGGGGCGAAAAUGUGAGGUGCGAACGUGUAGGGUGCGAAACUAUAUUGGGCGCGAACGGACCUGAUACCAUAGAUAGUAUAGAGAUCAACUGUAAACAGCGAUAAUGUUCAGCAAAGUAAGAUCUACAAAUAAGUUAAUGUUUUCCUGCUUUGUAAUGGGUCUCAUGUGUUAAGCAGUUUUCCACUUAUAUUUUAUACUCUAGUUUGUUAAUGUUAUAAUGUUCAGCUGUUACACGACUGUCUUAGGUUUAAUAAGCCACAUUUUCUAAGUACCUGUCCCAGUUAAGAGCCUACACUUUUAUAUUUGUCUUUCAUAAAUUUUUAUGCCCCACCUACGAUAAAAGAGGGGCAUUAUGUUUUCUGGUCUGUGGCUCCGUUCGUAUGUCUGCGUCCGUUCAGGGUAAAGUUUUUGGUCAAGGUAGUUUUUGAUGAAGCUGAAGUCAAAUCAACUUGAAACGUAGUACACUUGUUGCUUAUGAUAUGAUCUUUCUAAUUUAAAAGCCAAAUUAGACUUUUGACCCCAAUUUCACGGUUCACUAAACAUAGAAAAUGAAAGUGGGAGUUUCAGGUUAAAGUUUUUGGUCAAGGUAGUUUUUAAUGAAAUUGAAGUCCAAUCAACUUGAAACUUAGUACCUAUGUUCCCUAUAGUAUAAUCUUUCUAAUUUUAAUGCGAAAUUAGAUUAUUCGGCCACAAUUAAAAAAAAAUUAACCCUACCCAAAGGUUGAGAUAGUGGGUAGGUAGGUAGGCAUUUCCCUUUUUUUUCAAAAAAGAGAAAUUGAAGUAUCGGGUGUUUAUUAGUCUUCAUGCCUAUCUGAUUGAAAAAAAACUUCCUCAAAUCAGGACAAUAAAAGAAUUUGAUUACAGAUUAGGCAGCUUUUUUCUGGAUAGGUAGUGUUAGGGCAAACAAACCUAUUCUUUUUUAUGGCCCUACCCAAUUUCACAGUCUAUGGAACAUGGAAAAGGAUAGUUCGAGUGGGGCUUCCGUCUACUUUGGACAAUUUCUUGUUUUUACUUUUCAUGUUGGGGUAUUUUAUAGCUAACUACAAAUGAAUACGGUAUGAGUUUUUGUCUUGCUUGAUGGAGUAAAAAAGCAAGACAGGUUUGCUGUUUCUGGCAUCGACGUCAAUGGUGUCAACAAUGUAUUACCGGUAGUUUGUGAUUAGGUCUAGUUUAUGGUGAACCACUAAUGGUAAGUCAAAGAUAUUUGGUUUACAUUUGUAUGAGCAUUGGCACACCUAAUUACCGUGUAGAUUAUUUGACCAUGUUCCCUCAGUUAUGCUUUAUUGACUUUGAAAUUUUGGUUAGUUUACAUGUAAUAGUUUGUGUUUAUGUCUGUUUAAAGGGAACAACUUAUGAUAAGGCAAUGGUAUUUUGUAUACAGUUGUAUUAGCAUUGGCAUGUCUCAUUUCAAUGGACUUAGUUUAUCCAUGUACUUUCAGGCGUGACGUAUCUCUGUGAUAACAGUUUAUUGUAUUGUUGAAGGCUGUAACGGUAUGGUUACUUAUACAUUUGUAAAUGCUUACAUCCAUUUCAUUUGAAAUUUAAUGGAUAUUUAUCUCAUUCAGAAAUCAUGUACCACAUCUCCUUAUUUCUUAAUAGGAAAAAAUUUAUACAUGUAUUUAAAAGUUAAACAAAAGAACAGAGUUCCUAUAUCCCGUGUUGCACAGAGAUUAUAUUUCCAAGGAGAAUAACUCCUUUAAAACACUUGUCUGAGAUAUUGCUGAUAUUAACCUAUUAUAUUUUUGUAAGUUUCAUAAAAUCUGGUAAGAAUUGAAUCGGAGACCGGCCGAUUGCUGGAAAACAAGGAUAGACCGACAGAAGCUUUGUAUUUCCAUUCUCCAGGCAAUGCAUUAUGUUGGGCCAGUGGGGUUAAUUUCAAGUUAUAGAGUAAGGCUAAAGUAGUCUUAACUUCUUAAGGUUGGUUGCAGCAAGUUAGUUUAGAAGCAGAUUAAGGUGUGAAAUAUUCAUGUAUGGGUAACACAUACACUUAUGUUGCCUUUCUUAUCCCCCACCCACCCAUCCAUUUUACAUAUAUAUAUUAUGCUUCUGAAUCUUUAUUUAUAAAUGGGAUUGAUUGAGUUGAAUAGAGUUUUGCCAUUCUUUACUUAUGCCUUGAAAGUCCAGGUAUUGUGAAAAUAGUCAUAAUAUAUGUGACACAAUAACACUUUUCUUUCCAAAUUCCAGUUGGCAGUUCAUUUGUUUUUGUCAUUUUCAUAAUUAUUGUGCUUCUUUUGUUGGUUUUUUUGCCAAUUUUGGUUCAUCAGUUAUAUACCUGAUUGGUUUUUACCAAAUUCUUUAACUUUGGUGGCAUAUUUCUGGUUUUGUAUAUUCUUAAUUAACAAUAAAACAACAAAGUUAAAAAUUGUACUGUCUGUAUUAUUAUCGUCUGCAAUUAUAGAUUACUUUGGGUCUUACCUUGCAAUUGUAGAAAAAAUCCGAGACGUCCGAAAUUUAUGUAAAUUUCCUGAACUUGAACUCCACGGAAACACUUCCGGUAAAAACAAUGGCUGAUUCCACCAUUCAAAAUCGUCUAUGAAAAUGUGAAGGUCAGGAUUAUGACAGUGCGAUCACUUAAAAGGUAGGUCAGUAGUGGUUUUUCUAAAUGCGAUUUUUGAAUGGAAUGUUAAAAACUAUAUCUCGAGUAAACGCGAUUGAUAGUUUAGAUUAUUUUUACCGAUAACCGCUACGAAAAUCAGCUGACGGCGACUAUAAUUUAAUAUGCACAUGCCCAGUUUGAUGCUUAUCUGACUAAAUAUAAAAGCUAUUGUUCACCAUGAUUGAAAGCUGUGAUGAUCAGGUAAAUUCUACUCACUUAUGCCUCACUGAACAGAAUUUCUAUUGUUAGAUUUAACAUGAAAUUUAAAGGUCAACUAUUCCUUUUGUUGUUGAUCAGGUGUUCAGAUAGGUUUACAAUAGAUUGCAAGUUUUGUCACUUUAGCAGAAAACUGGUUAUCCCAAUUUUUAGUAAAGUGCAUAUGUUGAUGCAUAUAAUGCUAGAGAUUAUAGCCAAUAUAACUAGAAAAUGCCAUUCUGCCCUAAUUUGCUUUAAAUCCAGUGCAAACAAAAAUACCCCUCUAUAGAGGGAUAAUUUUAUCCCUCUAAAGAAGGAUUAUCCCUCUAUAGAGGUAUAAUCACCAUACAGGGGGUUUGUUCCCAACCUGUUUAAAUGAAUAUAUGUUCCCCAUAAAUUAGGAAUUUAUUUGUUAUAGAUUGAAAAAUACAGGCAAAGGUUAGAUGUUUAUGAAGUGUCCUAUAUAAUUUUGACUAUAGUGGAACCUUAAUUGAUAUCAAUGUCAUGGUCAACUGAAUGUUGCACCCCUUCAAAUCUUCAGGUAAUCUCACAUGAAUGCUAAAACAGGGCCAGUUUGUCCCAAAUCAUGUUUUCUCCCUUUCAAGUUCACACCCACAUGUUCUCACCCUGGAUUUGUUCGCAUCCCCUUUAAAGGUUAUGUUUUGAAUAAUUGUUUUAUCAUGCUUUAAUUGGUAUAUUGCUAUAAAAUAACAGAAGGUUUGAGAAAUUUUUGGUUUGCCAUGUUAACAGGUUGGGAACAAACCCCCUGUAUGGUGAUUAUACCUGUAUCAUACAUGUGACAGAUUUGUUAAGCCACAACUGGAGAUUUGAAAAUUUUCAGCUGGAGUUUGGGCCUCAUAACUGGAGAUUUUUUAUCGACGUACGCAAUGGUUUUUUCGUGUGUGUUUAAACUACAUAUCUUCCUUUUUUGUUAAAAAAAACCCAAUGAUUUCAUACCUUCAAGCACCUGCAUAGCCAUUUACUAAGUAAAAUAGAAGAUAAAGGGGGGGGGGGGGGGGGGUCAAAUAUUUAUUCAUCAUAUAUAGUUCAAAGUUAAAGUGAUCAGCCAUCAUACAUAGUUGGCAAAAAGUACUUCUACUUUAGCCACAUUGUCAACUUUAGUGCCACUACUGAACAUGUUUGUAAAAGAAGGUGUUGAAUUGAUAGAGUUGUGGGCUUUCUGGUGGGUAACUGUCUCCAUAUUUUUGGUCAAGUAAUUAGGGCCCCAUAGUCAGCUUUACAUGAAGUGUAGUAAGCAUUGUCUUGACCCUUGGCACUGGACUUGCAUCAUUUUAAAAUUUGGCUAGAUACUGUGUCUUCUUUAAUAUUAUGCUGGGGUACAUGUAUUUAGUGAUAACAUGAUACAGUUAGUAGUUGAGUUGAUUUUAUUGUCUUUCAGGUUCAGUAUAAACUAAGUCUGUUUCAUGUUUUCAACAGCAUCAAAAUUUAUUAAAGUCGAUGUUUAUACAACUGUUCCAUAGUCAGUAUUUCACUUUAAAUCAUCCAGACAUGUAUAUUUAACUAGCUAGUUGAUUACUAGGUAAAUGCCAAUCAUCUUUUGUUGUUGUAUAUACAGUCUAUAAUCCUUAACACCUUCAUUGAUUACUUGAGGCUAUUUUCCUAUUUACCUUUUUGACACAAAUUCCAGUACAGGAAACUUCCGUUUUUCUCGGACUUUUCCCAUAUCAAUUUAAAGUUUCUCGGACUUUUUCCCUGUCCGUAUCUAUUUUGUAAACUGAAAUGUCUACUGAAAUUUUUUCGAGAUUGACAUUUUCAAAAAACGGAAGAUUUCAAAUUUUAACGGGAGGGACGGAAGAGGGUCUGAAAAGCGGGAGAUUUUAACUCCCGCCGGAAGAAUCAAAUGUAUGCUGUAUAGAGGGAUAAUCCUUCUUUAGAGGGAUAAAAUUAUCCCUCUAUAGACGGGUAUUUUUGUUUGCACUGGAUUUAAAGCAAAUUAGGGCAGAAUAGCAUUUUCUAGUUAUAUUGGCUAUAAUCUCUAGCAUUAUAUGCAUCAACAUAUAUGCACUUUACUAAAAUUUGGGAUAAACCAUUUUCUGCUAAAGUGACAAAACUUGCAAUCUAUUGUAUACCAUUAUCUGAACACCUGAUCAACAUCAAACGGAAUAGUUGACCUUUAAAUUUCAUGUUAAAUCUAACAAUAGAAAUUCUGUUCAGUGAGGCAUAAGUGAGUAGAAUUUACCUGAUCAUCACAGCUUUCAAUCAUGGUGAACAAUAGAUUUUAUAUUUAGUCAGAUAAGCAUCAAACUGGACAUGUGCAUAUUAAACUAAGUACAUCAAUUGGUGCAUCAACUGUUGCAGGUUACUGCCAUAAUAAGUAGAGAAUGCCAUUCUGACCUAUUUUGAUUUAAAUCCAGUCUAAAGAAAAAUACCCCUCUAUAGAGGGAUAAUUUUACCCCUUUUUUCUGUUUCGAUUUCUUUUACAUUUCAACUUAGGUAGUCAGUUACAAAUGGUGCUUCUAUACAAACAAAUUAAUUGGACCCUAGAGCUCAAAAUGAAGCAUUUAUAUAAGGGAAGACUAUGUCAUGUAUGCUACUCAUGAUUAUGAACAUUAUAUUAAUAUUGAUUAAAGGAAUGUGAGAACUUAAGGUUGAUCUUUUGAGAUCAACACCAAUGAGAUAGCAAUCACAAAUAGAGAACCAUUAAGACAUGCAUUCAUCAUGGUCAUAAACUGGAAGUGGUAUCUUUUGCUUUAUAUAUAUAUAUAAUUAAUACAUAUAAGUGAUUAGUCUCAUGGUUUUCGACAUGUACCAUUACAUAUAUUGAAAAAUGUUUUUUCCAACAUAUAAGAAAUGAGAAAUUGAGAAAUUCCUGCAAACAGAUAUACCCCAUGCUGAAGUUACUAAUAUGAUAAUUGUGCUUUCAAAUUAAAAUACCUUACUUUAAUACAUGUACAUGUAUGUCAUGAAUACUCAUGAUCAUCUUUGAUUGCCCAUCAUUGGAUUUUUUUUUUUACAACACUGCAUGUGAUGUGCUUUUGUGCUGACAAUUUUAUAAACUCAAUGAUUGGAUGAAGCACGACUAAUUUUGAUAAGGUUUACCGCAUAGCAACUCCUUUGGGCCACAAUUAAAAAUAUUUCAGUUUGCCCAAACCCGACCCAUGAUGACUGGGUAAGGGUUGGUAGGUAGGCAAAUUCUUUUUUUUUCAGAAUUUGCAUGAAAAUAUUGAAAGAUUUUAAAACAGUACAACUUUUUUUUCUUCCGUCAAACCUUUGUAGAGUCAACAAAAAGCAAUGAAUUUAAAACUUCUAUAAAUAAAUUAGUCUACUUUAUGAUUUGUAUCCUGAAAUGUUUCUAACCCUGACAAUUGCUAAAUGUUUGAAAGGGCUGGUGGAUUUAUGAAGUGAUUUUCAACAGUUACAUCAACAUAAUGUUUGUGUAAAAAAAAUAUCAGCUGACUAUGUAAUGAUUUAAUUUGUUUGCAGUUUUUAAAUCCUAUAUCUAUUAAAAUAGAUAAAUGUCCUAAAAUAUUUUAUAUGAAUUAUUAUCUACCAUCCAUAGUUUCUGUCUUUUUUUGUUUUGAAAACAAAUUUAUAUUUUACAUUAUCACACGUUGCACAGGUAAACUUAUUUGGCUAUAAAUACAUUUGUAGAUCAAAACAUGUUCUGUAGAAUCUCCAAACUAAAAACGCAUUUGUUAUAAUUUUAUUUCUUUAAAUAAUCAAGUUUAAAUUUUUGAAAAUAAUCAUUAUUGAUAAAAUAUAAUUGCAUAAAGUUAACGUUUUGUGAGCAAUUAUAGUUUUAUCAAAUUCUCCCAAACAGCAACGUACUGAUCUUGUAAACUGAGACUUGUAAAUUUGAACUAUUUUAAUAAAAGGGCAUCUAAUUCACAUGAUAAAGGAAGAUUAUAAUUAAAGACAACAAUUUAUCAAGAAAUAAUUCCUUUUUAUUCAGUAAUAACAAAAUCUUCUUGCAAGAUUGUAAAUUUGCAACUUCCAUUUCCAUUUCUGUUCAGAAUAUUGAAAGUAUUCGAUUGCAAAUGGUUUUGAACAAAUCUACCUGAAUAUUCUUAUCAUAUAUUCGAUUACACGAUGAAAUUAACAUCGAGCAUAUAGGUAAGGGUUUGGUAGUACAGAACUACAGCGUAAAAAAACUGUGCCACUUCACAUGUUUCACUUCUUUACGUUUGUUAAGUCAGUUCUAAGAUAAAACAGAGAACAUCGAAUAUCGAUUAACUGCGUCUUCUGCGCUUUCUUUUAAUCUUAUUCACAAUUACUUUCAAACGCAAAGACGACAAACAUUAUGUUUUAUACGAUGACGGAGCGGACACAAAAAAAAUCUGCAAAAAAAAAAAUUCUUCUAAAAAACGUCAAAAAAAGAAUUUGAGUCGGCGGGUUUAUUUUGGGUCGGUCGUGUUUGGGCAAACAUACAAUCUUUUUAUUUUGGCCUUGAUUUAUGAAGAUAAGAUGGGCUAAGGCAAUUUAAAGACAGAAAGUUCUGUAAUUGUUCUAGAUAACUUUAAUAUUUGUAUUUGAAGAAAAAAUUGUUUGUGUAGUUGCAGAAUGUAGUUCAGUCAAGAAAUCUUAGCACCACUGGCAGGCUAUGUUUCAUACGUAGGGGUGAAAAAGUUUUUGAAGAAGAAGAUAAUACUGUUAUUGCUCAUGAGAAACGGCCAUACAUACAGGAAUCAUGGGAUACAAGUAUCAGAUAUUUAGAAAGUGAUU